rnacentral:rRNA from 1 species
CCUACGGGCGGCAGCAGUGGGGAAUAUUGGACAAUGGGGGCAACCCUGAUCCAGCCAUGCCGCGUGUGUGAAGAAGGCCCUCGGGUUGUAAAGCACUUUCAGUGAGGAAGAACGCCUGGUGGUUAAUACCCAUCAGGAAAGAUAUCACUCACAGAAGAAGCACCGGCUAACUCCGUGCCAGCAGCCGCGGUAAUACGGAGGGUGCGAGCGUUAAUCGGAAUUACUGGGCGUAAAGCGCGCGUAGGUGGCUUGAUAAGCCGGUUGUGAAAGCCCCGGGCUCAACCUGGGAACGGCAUCCGGAACUGUCAAGCUAGAGUGCAGGAGAGGAAGGUAGAAUUCCCGGUGUAGCGGUGAAAUGCGUAGAGAUCGGGAGGAAUACCAGUGGCGAAGGCGGCCUUCUGGACUGACACUGACACUGAGGUGCGAAAGCGUGGGUAGCAAACAGGAUUAGAUACCCCGGUAGUC